rnacentral:snRNA from 1 species
GUCUCUCCUCUGGCAGCACGUAUCCUGUCCUUGGAACAAUACAGAGAAGAUAGGCAUGGCCCCUGCACGAGUGUGACAUGGAUUCCUGAAGCCACUGGCCUGGUUUUC